GUAGGGGGGCACAUGAGUCUAACGACUAGAGUCUCCGAAAGGAGGUACAUCAGAUAGAUACACAAUGGAGUGUUUCAUAUGAUAAAUUACGUUUUAAUUUUAUUAAUUACUUUGUAUAUUUCAGAAGCUGUGUGUUCACUGUUGGCACAUUGAAUGAUUGGCAGCAUUGGAUAAAUAAUGCUCUAUUGGAUAAAUACGUAAAGUACAUUGGACAGCUGAGAUUGUGGUGUAGACAGCUGAGAAUGUGUUUUGGACAGCUGAGAUUGUGACUUGGACAGCUGAGAUUGUGGUGUGGACAGCUGAGAUUGGUGUGGACAGCUGAGAUUGUGGUGUUGACAUCUGAAAUUGUGAUUUGGACAGCUGAGAUUGUGACUUGGACAGCUGAGAUUGUGCUGUGGACAGCUAAAAUUGUGGUGUGUUUCAUAUGAUAAAUUACGUUUUAAUUUUAUUAAUUACUUUGUAUAUUUCAGAAGCUGUGUGUUCACUGUUGGCACAUUGAAUGAUUGGCAGCAUUGGAUAAAUAAUGCUCUAUUGGAUAAAUACGUAAAGUACAUUGGACAGCUGAGAUUGUGGUGUAGACAGCUGAGAUUGUGUUUUGGACAGCUGAGAUUGUGACUUGGACAGCUGAGAUUGUGGUGUGGACAGCUGAGAUUGGUGUGGACAGCUGAGAUUGUGGUGUUGUCAUCUGAAAUUGUGAUUUGGACAGCUGAGAUUGUGACUUGGACAGCUGAGAUUGUGCUGUGGACAGCUAAAAUUGUGGUGUGGAAUAAUGAUAUUGUGGUGUUGACAACAUAUUGUGGUGUGCACAUGUGAUAUUGUGGUGUGAUGGUUUAAAGUAGCAAAGGUAAAGAACGUUUGACAGCUUAGAUUGUGGUGUGGACAGCUGAUAUUGUGGUGUGGACAGCUGAGAUUGUCAUGUGGACUACUUAUAUUGUGGCUUGCAGAGCUGAUAUUGUGGUGUGAUGGU